rnacentral:rRNA from 1 species
CCCUUAGAUGUUCUGGGCCGCACGCGCGCUACACUGAUGCAUUCAACGAGUUUUUUCCUGGUCCGAGAGGAAUGGGUAACCUUUUGAAAGUGCAUCGUGAUAGGGAUAGACUAUUGCAAUUAUUGGUCUUCAACGAGGAAUUCCUAGUAGACGUAGUUCAUCAGACUGCAUCGAUUACGUCCCUGCCCUUUGUACACACCGCCCGUCGCUCCUACCGAUUGAAUGCUCAGGUGAGCCAUUCGGACUUUCAUCAUGCUGGUUUCCAGUUUUGAUGAAGGAAAGUCUUGCGAACCUUAUCAUUUAGAGGAAGGAGAAGUCGUAACA